CAGCUCUCCAGUCCAUCAUGAAUAAACAUGCAUUUUAAUAGUACAUGGUACCUUUCAGUCUACUGUGAGGUUCAGUUGGGGAAUAUUGACAGGUGGUCCGUAAAUCCCAACUAAUCCGGUAAAAGGGACGUUUUGCGUCUUCUGUGUCUUUGGGAAGACCAUGGCUCGCGCCAGGAUAUAUCGGGAGUCACUGCUGGUGAUUUUAUUGCAAAUCGUCCUAAUUUGCUCCGCUCAGAGGGGCCCGGUCGGUCCCAGAGGCCCCGCAGGACCCCUUGGUAUAGCAGGCGUGCCUGGAGUCGACGGCAUUGAUGGAGACAGAGGGGACGAUAACUUCAUAGAAGGCGGCCCUGGUCCUGAUGGGGAAGACGGCAAACCAGGAACUCCCGGAACAGCCGGCCUACCAGGGGCAGACGGUGCCACUGGACCUGUUGGAGAUCUCGGCCCAGAUGGGCCUCCUGGACCAAAAGGUGAACCCGGAGAGGCUGGGGAAGUCGGGGAGAUUGGCGAGGGACCUGAUGGGACUGAUGGAGCAGCUGGUGCACAAGGGUUGGUGGGCGAGCUUGGCAAAGUCGGAAC
rnacentral:lncRNA from 1 species